ACGUACACUCCUACGGGAGGCAGCAGUGGGGAAUAUUGGACAAUGGGCGCAAGCCUGAUCCAGCCAUGCCGCGUGAGUGAUGAAGGCCCUAGGGUUGUAAAGCUCUUUCACCGGUGAAGAUAAUGACGGUAACCGGAGAAGAAGCCCCGGCUAACUUCGUGCCAGCAGCCGCGGUAAUACGAAGGGGGCUAGCGUUGUUCGGAUUUACUGGGCGUAAAGCGCACGUAGGCGGACUAUUAAGUCAGGGGUGAAAUCCCGGGGCUCAACCCCGGAACUGCCUUUGAUACUGGUAGUGUUGAGUUCGAGAGAGGUGAGUGGAAUUCCGAGUGUAGAGGUGAAAUUCGUAGAUAUUCGGAGGAACACCAGUGGCGAAGGCGGCUCACUGGCUCGAUACUGACGCUGAGGUGCGAAAGCGUGGGGAGCAAACAGGAUUAGAAACCCCAGUAGUCCCA
rnacentral:rRNA from 1 species